GCCUCUUUAGCUCAGUUGGUAGAGCAGUUCACUCGUAAUGAACAGGUCAGGGGUUCAAGUCCCCUAGGAGGCU
rnacentral:tRNA from 1 species